rnacentral:rRNA from 1 species
UACGUAGGGUGCGAGCGUUAAUCGGAAUUACUGGGCGUAAAGCGUGCGCAGGCGGUUUUGUAAGCCAGAUGUGAAAUCCCCGGGCUUAACCUGGGAAUGGCAUUUGGGACUGCAAGGCUCGAGUGCGGCAGAGGAGACUGGAAUUCCCGGUGUAGCAGUGAAAUGCGUAGAGAUCGGGAGGAACAUCUGUGGCGAAGGCAGGUCUCUGGGCCGAUACUGACGCUGAGGAGCGAAAGCGUGGGGAGCGAACGAG